GACAACAAGUUUAACUUUUCUGCUUGAACUAUAAUCCAAAGGCCCAGAGCGGUGAACAUUUCGAUGUUUAUUAUCCGUGCUGCGAAGGCUUCCUCUAUCUAUAUCGUACAAAUGGUUCUGGCUAUGGGAUGAUGACCCCUUAAAAUAACCUGAAUCAUUAACACCAUGCUGUUGUGUUGAGUCUCCACGAGGCUGCUUCACUACAGGAGAUGUGUGAGAUAGUGAUACAGCAGGUGAAUGGCGGGGUGAGACACUUAGUAGUGCCAGAGGCAUGGAUGGAGAAUUUGAGUAGUACUGGCUAUAAAUUGAACGGAGAAUUGCGUACGGAACAUAGGCUUCGAGGGAGCUUCUUGGAAGAUACGGUGA